rnacentral:rRNA from 1 species
UACAGAGGGUGCGAGCGUUAAUCGGAAUUACUGGGCGUAAAGCGCACGUAGGCGGCUUCUUAAGUCAGGGGUGAAAUCCUGGAGCUCAACUCCAGAACUGCCUUUGAUACUGAGGAGCUUGAGUCCGGGAGAGGUGAGUGGAACUGCGAGUGUAGAGGUGAAAUUCGUAGAUAUUGGGAAGAACACCGGUGGCGAAGGCGGCUCACUGGCUCGUAUCUGACGCUCAGGCGCGACGCGUGGGGAGUCAAACAGG